rnacentral:rRNA from 1 species
UACGUAGGGUGCAAGCGUUGUCCGGAAUUAUUGGGCGUAAAGAGCUUGUAGGCGGUUUGUCGCGUCUGCCUGUGAAAUUUCGGGGCUCAACCCCGAACUUGCAGUGGGGUACGGGCAGACUAGAGUGUGGUAGGGGAGACUGGAAUUCCUGGUGUAGCGGUGAAAUGCGCAGAUAUCAGGAGGAACACCGAUGGCGAAGGCGGCUCUGGGCCACUACUGCGCUGGAGAAGCGAAAGCAUGGGGAGCGAACAGG